GCACAUUCUCUCUCCUGUGGUCCCUGCUUUCUCCAGGAACCAGGUUAUUGUGCAAAACCAAACUCUGCAUACUGAGCAAAACAAAGCAGAAAGAUGAGUUCAUUGCAACAGUUUUGACGUGCAAGCCCAGAAACUCAAGACUAUGGAGCAAUGAGUUCCAAGUUGCUCACAGACUGAAGGACUUUUAUAGGGUAAAUGCAGAAGUUAUCUGGCUUGUUCAGCUGAUUGGUUGCCAGGUGGUCUUUUUCCUUAUCUGGAAUAGGGUGGCUGAGUCAGGGCAACAAGGAAGUCCAGAGAUGCUGUGAAGAGCCUUGGUGUUUGGGGUUUGGCUGGCAUCCUCUGCUGAUCUCUGAGGAGAGUUGUGAAUUCCUGUGAGGUGAGGUUAACUUUUGUUCUUUUUUAUACACCUGCAUUGACUGUCUCCAUUUUUCCCCUGACAUAAUGACUCCGUUUGAGUUUGGCUCUACAUUGUCAUUGCAAGAACUGGCUCAGAGAGGACCUGCUUCCCUUGCCUCUCACGUCUUAUGUUGAUCAAGGGCUUCCGGCUGUGUUGGCAGGUGUCACAGAGGAAGGAGCAUCACAGAUGUGUGUGCGCCACGUGACUUAGUUGGGGAAAUGGAUCAAAUCCAGACUGGGUUGCCAAGGAAGCCAGAGUGGAGGCUGUUGGAAGGAUGGGUUUGAAUGAACUUUGGCUGCUCCACAAGCAGGCUGAUUACUGAGGAAACAUCAAAAGCUUCACCCGAAUGACUCAUCACCCAGAUCCAACAGAGGAACAGAAUUUGGGGGUGGUAAAAAAAAUCAAUAAAACACACUGCCCAAAGCAUUUUCAAGCUUGAGGAUGGGAGAGUGUAAAGGAACAAUCAUGUAAACAAUAAAUGACGAUAUAAAGAAGAAUGAGAAGUAAUGAUCAAAAGGAGAUCAUUAAGAGGAUGUAACCUCUAGUUGACCUGAGGGCUGGAUCUGGGCAAUAGGAACCUCUUCAGCCCCUCCCCUUGGAAUGUAUGUCCUUCCCACCAUUUCCUACAGCUGGAGCUGUUGUCAAGGAUGCAACUUUGAAAGAGCAACCUGUUGUUGAGGCCAUUGAUGGUACAUGUGACUGAACUAGGCUUUCCACAUCACUAGGCCCACGUGCAACAAGUAAGCAGGCAUAGUCUUUCUGGAAGAGGAGCACGGGCACCUGCUUGCUAAUUUCCCUCACUACCAAGAAACCUGAAUCAUCACCAGAGACCCCAAACAUAGGAUUUUGAAAACAACAAAGUAGAUGAGAGCAGAGAAAAGGAGGGACAGAUGCACAAUGGGAGAGAAAGAAAGAACAAAAGGGACAGGAGGGGGAAGAUACAUCUGGCUGUGCCUGAAGCAAGAACUACUGUUGGAUUUUUUACUAACAUGAGCCAAUCACUUGUGUUGACUUUAACCAUCUAUACAAAAUCACAGAAGACUGGCAUAUGGAGGUUAACUCAAGGGAUUUGGGGAGAACUUUCUCCUCCAUUAAAAUUUUGAGAAAGA